GUAUAUAUGAAGGUUAAGUCAAUAGGUGAAAGUAUUUAGAGCUCAAACUGAUGUUUAAAUGUACUUAAAAUGCUAAAAAGCAGAAC